AACGAACGCUGGCGGCAGGCCUAACACAUGCAAGUCGAGCGAAGCCUUCGGGCUUAGCGGCGGACGGGUGAGUAACGCGUGGGAACGUGCCCUUUGGUACGGAAUAGCCCCGGGAAACUGGGAGUAAUACCGUAUGUGCCCUUCGGGGGAAAGAUUUAUCGGAUCUGGAUGAGCCCGCGUUGGAUUAGCUAGUUGGUGAGGUAAUGGCUCACCAAGGCUACGAUCAGUAGCUGGUCUGAGAGGAUGACCAGCCACAUUGGGACUGAGACACGGCCCAAACUCCUACGGGAGGCAGCAGUGGGGAAUCUUGCGCAAUGGGCGAAAGCCUGACGCAGCCAUGCCGCGUGGAUGAUGAAGGUCUUAGGAUUGUAAAAUCCUUUCACCGGUGAAGAUAAUGACUGUAGCCGGAGAAGAAGCCCCGGCUAACUUCGUGCCAGCCGCCGCCGUAACAC
rnacentral:rRNA from 1 species